rnacentral:rRNA from 1 species
GGACAGUGCCUGAUGGGUAGUUUAACUGGGGCGGUUGCCUCCUAAAAAGUAACGGAGCGCCCAAAGGUUCCCUCAGCCUGGUUGGCAAUCAGGUGUCGAGUGUAAGUGCACAAGGGAGCUUGACUGUGAGAGAGACAUCUCGAGCAGGGACGAAAGUCGGGACUAGUGAUCCGGCGGUACAUUGUGGAAUGGCCGUCGCUCAACGGAUAAAAGGUACCUCGGGGAUAACAGGCUGAUCUUGCCCAAGAGUCCAUAUCGACGGCAUGGUUUGGCACCUCGAUGUCGGCUCGUCGCAUCCUGGGGCUGGAGUAGGUCCCAAGGGUUGGGCUGUUCGCCCAUUAAAGCGGUACGCGAGCUGGGUUUAGAACGUCGUGAGACAGUUCGGUCCCUAUCCGCUGCGCGCGCAGGAAAUUUGAGAAGGGCUGUCCUUAGUACGAGAGGACCGGGACGGACGAACCUCUGGUGUGUCAGUUGUACUGCCAAGUGCACCGCUGAUUAGCUACGUUCGGAUGGGAUAACCGCUGAAAGCAUCUAAGCGGGAAGCUCGCUUCAAGAUGAGAUUUCCAUACACCUCGUGUGUGAGAGGCCCCCAGCCAGACCACUGGGUUGAUAGGCCGGAUGUGGAAGCGAGGACUAACGACUCGUGAAGCUGACCGGUACUAAUAGGCCGAUAACUUACACCACACACCC